rnacentral:rRNA from 1 species
GAUGAACGCUGGCGGCGUGCUUAACACAUGCAAGUCGAACGAUGAUCCCAGCUUGCUGGGGGAUUAGUGGCGAACGGGUGAGUAACACGUGAGUAACCUGCCCUUAACUCUGGGAUAAGCCUGGGAAACUGGGUCUAAUACCGGAUAUGACUCCUCAUCGCAUGGUGGGGGGUGGAAAGCUUUUUUGUGGUUUUGGAUGGACUCGCGGCCUAUCAGCUUGUUGGUGAGGUAAUGGCUCACCAAGGCGACGACGGGUCGCCGGCCUGAGAGGGUGACCGGCCACACUGGGACUGAGACACGGCCCAGACUCCUACGGGAGGCAGCAGUGGGGAGUAUUGCACAAUGGGCGCAAGCCUGAUGCAGCGACGCCGCGUGAGGGAUGACGGCCUUCGGGUUGUAAACCUCUUUCAGUAGGGAAGAAGCGAAAGUGACGGUACCUGCAGAAGAAGCGCCGGCUAACUACGUGCCAGCAGCCGCGGUAAUACGUAGGGCGCAAGCGUUAUCCGGAAUUAUUGGGCGUAAAGAGCUCGUAGGCGGUUUGUCGCGUCUGCCGUGAAAGUCCGGGGCUCAACUCCGGAUCUGCGGUGGGUACGGGCAGACUAGAGUGAUGUAGGGGAGACUGGAAUUCCUGGUGUAGCGGUGAAAUGCGCAGAUAUCAGAGGAACACCGAUGGCGAAAGGCAGGUCUCUGGGCAUUAACUGACGCUGAGGAGCGAAAGCAUGGGGAGCGAACAGGAUUAGAUACCCUGGUAGUCCAUGCCGUAAACGUUGGGCACUAGGUGUGGGGGACAUUCCACGUUUUCCGCGCCGUAGCUAACGCAUUAAGUGCC